AUUGAACGCUGGCGGCAGGCCUAACACAUGCAAGUCGAGCGGAGCGGCGGACGGGUGAGUAAUGCCUAGGAAUCUGACUGGUAGUGGGGGAUAACGUCCGGAAACGGGCGCUAAUACCGCAUACUAUCAGAUGAGCCUAGGUCGGAUUAACUAGGUGGUGGGGUAAAGGACUACCAAGGCGACGAACCGUAACUGGUAUGCGAGGAUGAUAAGUCACACUGGAACUGUGACACGGUCCAGACUCCGACGUGAGGCAGCAGUGGGAAAUAUUGGACAAGGGGCGAAAGCCUGAUCCCGCCAUGCGGCGUGUGUGAAGAAGGUCUUCGGAUUGUAAAGCACUUUAAGUUGGGAGGCGUUACCAACAGAAUAAGCACCGGCUAACUUCGUGCCAGCAGCCGCGGUAAUAC
rnacentral:rRNA from 1 species